rnacentral:lncRNA from 1 species
AUCACAGCCACCACCCCAGUAGCACAGACUUCACGGAAGAGGACACCAGGUAGACGGAGGCUCCCAGGACCAGGGCCCACAGAACGUGAUGGCUCUAGGUCAGUAUGGCCCUCAGCCCUUCGAACCCCUCCGCACCGUCUGCGCCCACUUCCCUGACGUUUAUUUAUCUGGGGACGUAGCUUUUGUUUGGGUUUAGUUUGAGAGCCUUUCGGAGCUUAAUUUAUAUACUUUGUACCUUUUAUUUCUAAAAUUACCAAAGAUAUUACGCAAAGGUAAAUUAUUUUCUUUUAUGCUUUAUCUGAUGAAGCCAAAUAUCCUCUAUUGUUGAUCAAAGGAGGCGAAAGGAUUCAGAGGCAAAUGUGAGGUCCGGGCUAUUGCUAACCUGAGGGAAAUGACUACCCAUCAGCAGAGUUCACUUAGCAGACUACGUAGGCAAUGGAACCAAAGGUUUUUCCUUUUUUUUUUUCUAGGUUAUUUUUUUCUUUCUUUCCUUCUUUUCUCUAUCUAUAGAGAGACCAAAACUAACUCCUGGAAGGAGAAAAAUACGGGGCUACUGCAGAGAAAAGAAACCAAGACAAUAGUAUUAUAGCUCCUACGGAAAGAAUGGGCUAUCAUCUCAAAGAGAGAGAAUUGAAUGUAUGAUGCUGAAACUUAGAAUAUAAUGGAGGAGACACUUAGGAUGAAUUCAGAGAGAACAGAGAAGUGUCUGGCUGCAUGAGACCACUUCUAGAAUAAAGAGAAUUUUAGAACGUUCAGAUGCCACUUUUGUUUAAGGGCUGUGCUCUGAUCGCUGCGUUAAUUUUGGUUUUAUCUUGGCUUUUAUCCUCUGGUUCCCUUCUGGUUUUUUUUUUUUUUUUUUUUUUGUUGUUGUUUUUCCCCCCCUCUCAAAUUAUGAUUUGGUCAGUGUUUUUCAUUUCCACACACAAGAAAAAGGUGGCAUUCCCAUCCACUCGUAAGCUUAGACUAGAACAUCUUUGGCAAUUACUCCUGAAGGUUUGCUGUGCUUUUAUAGAGGGGCAGUCUGUGGUUAUUCAUGCCCCGCCCUGUCCCCCCUCUUUUCCAGGCAGCUUCAUGAUGUGCAGGCAGUAGCCAGGCAGGGUCAUUGGAAGGGGGCCCUGUGCUUCUAAACUGAGUGGUUGCUGGUUAGAUAUUCAAAAGAGGAUAAAAAUCUGGUAGAUUAGUUCAUUCUCAGCAUGUGUAGCUAGACACGAGUAAAGAUAGCGCAUGAGGACUGUUAGUACGCAUACCUCAGUUCAAACCUUUAGGGAAUGAGUAAAAAAAAAAUUAAAAAUAUACCUUUCACUCAGUCACACUUAGUCGUAUGUCUUGCAUGCUUAGUCUAAAGACUGUAGCAGAGAAUAAAUAAAAAAGAAGAAUUAGGUUUUAUGUAUCUUUGCAGGUGUCAUAGCCUCGAAGAAGAACCAACUGAAAAAAAAAAAAAAAAAAAAAGUCUCAGGCUUUACAGCAAGCAAUCUUCACUCUGACUUUUACAGUUCUGAUUCUGUCCCUCGGGGGGAUUGUGGUCGCUUCUCUAGAAUGGGGUUGCUUCGGUUGUACAUAUAUCCCGAUGUGUCUGUGUGGGUCUUUGUCUUUUUGCGGGGGAGGGCUGAGGGGAGGGGUUUUUUUUUGUUUUGUUUUGUUUUAAUUAUUUUAUUUUUUAGGUAUUGUUCCUAAAAAGGAAUAAAUGCAUACACCUGUUUGUCAAAACAUCUUUGCUUUUUGUGCAACUGCAUUUUAUUAAUGAUACUUUUUUUUAAAGAAAAAAAAGGAAAAGAAAAUAGUAUCUUUGGGGGCAAAUCUACUGUAUGUAAUGGGUUUGCAGUCAGUGCUGAACAUGUGCUUUAUUUCCCUGCCCCUGAUUUACAAACGCUGGAUGACAUGUUGAUAUAUGGGAAGAAGGAAAAAACUCCACACUUCUCUCUCCCUCUCUCUCUCUCUCCCUCCCUCCUUCCCUCCCUCCCCCAACCCCCUUGCUUUUAAAUUGUAACAUAGUUGACAUAAUUUGUUUCUUUUCCUACCCUCAUUAUUUGGAACAUUUUGUACUUUGUACAGGUUCGUGGAGUGGGGAGAGAGAGAGAGAGAGAGAGAGAGAGAGAGAGAGUGAGUGAGUGUGGGUGUUACUCCGUUUUUGAUACAUUCCUAUUUCUUGUGUUUAUCACACCACUGCCUCCUUGACUAUCUUAAACAAGUUCCUAAGUUUGAAAAGAGAAAAAAAAAUGUUUAAAAAAAAUGUUCUCUCUUGCCGCAGUCAAUAUUUUUGCAUGAUGAAAUUCCAGGCUCACACUUUAAAAGUUUUAUCAGUAAAGUAGUGAUUAAUAAUGGGAAGUGUUGCAAAUAUGGAACUCUUUGUAUAAAAGUUUUUUUACAAGGUCCCAAGGUGUAAAGACAAUUUUGUUACUCUUUUCUUUCUUUUCUUAGCAAAUCUAAGCAAACAUGAGGGAGAUUGGACCUAUGUGUCAGACACAGUCAUGAUGAGGACCCACCUCCAUGUUCUUAGGGUCUAUCCAUGUGAGAAGGCUUAGGGCCAUCAAAGGGUGAACUGUCUAGGCUUGCGUGCAUGGCGACCCAGCUGCCAGUCCCUUCCCCACAUCAGAAGAUAGUUGACUUCAUAUUCUUAGCAUCUUCAGCCAUAAUAAAGCCUUGGUUUAAAAGAAAAGAAAAGAAAAGAAAAGAAAAUAAUAGAGCCAAAAACACAAUAUAAAUCACUAGCUCCUUUAUUUUCUUCAGUUACAACAUUGAAUCGAAAAGUCUCUCCUCCUUUCCACAUUCUAGCUGAGCUCUCUGUCUCCCAGGGCAAAAAGCAAACUCUGCUAAUUAAAUCUUUUCCGUACCUGUUGGUCAGUGCCAUACCCUCCUGACAGUCUGGAAGUGGUUUACAACUCGGUUUUACUCUAUUAUCCUGAGAAGCAAAUGGACAAUUCUAAUGGCGUCUUGUGGGUCCAGUGUAACUCAAAGCGGUCCCUGCUACCCAGGAGCCUGGGUAGAGGUGGUGCGGUCUGGGUUGUGAGUGUGGUGCUCUCUGUAUCUGUGAUGCCACUAACAGGGAUUGUUUUGUUUUGUUUUGAUAAGGCAUAAAAGAAUCUCAUUCCUUGACAUCAACUGUAAUUCCAUCAUUCCAUGUCUGUGGAUACAGACAAUAAAAAAAAAAAAAGUUGUGUAGUCAGUAGUAAUUACUGACAUGAGCGCAUUCUCAAAUGCAAUAAAAAUGCUGGUUGUUCACACUGGU